rnacentral:lncRNA from 1 species
AUAUACAAUAUUGAUUCUAAGACAGAAGGUAAGGGUUUAAAAUUAUUUCUUUUUUUUUUUUGAAAAUUUUAUUUAGUGAAUUUAGAACAUUAUUCCUUGGUUACGAGGAUCAUAUUCUUUCCCUCCCUCCUCUUCCCCCCACCCUUUCCCAUGGCUGAUAUGCAAUUCCACUGGAUUUUACAUAUAUCCUUGAUCAGAACCUAUUUCCAUGUUGUUGUUGUUUGCACUAGGAUAGGGUCUACAUCCCCUUGACCCAUGUAAUCAAGCAGUUGUUUUUCUUCUGUGUUUCUACUCCCACAGUUUUUCCUCUGAAUGUAGAUAGUGAUCAUUCUCAUAGAUCCCUUCAAGUUGUUCAGGAUCAGUGCAUUGCCACUAAUGGAAAAGUCCAUAACAUUCGAUUGUCCCACAGUGUAUCAGUCUCUGUGUAUAAUGUUCUCCUGGUUCUGCUCCUCUCACUCUGCAUCAAUUCCUGUGGGUCAUUCCAGUUCACAUGGAAUUCCUCCAGUUCAUUAUUCCUUUGAGUACAUUAGUAUUCCAUCACCAACAUAUACCACAAUUUGUUCAGCCAUUCCCCAACUGAAGGGCAGCCCCUCACUUUCCAAUUCUUUGCCACCACAAAGCAUAGCUAUGAAUAUUCUUGUACAUGUCUUUUUACUUAUUAUCUCUUUGGGGUAUAAACCCAGCAGUGCUAUGACUGGAUCAAAGGGCAGUCUUUUAGCACCCUUUGGGCAUAGUUCCAAAUUACCCUCCAGAAUGUCCCAACUUUGCUACAUCUCCUCCAGCAUUCAUUACUUUCCAUUGCUGUCAAGUUAGACAAUCUGCUAGGUGUGAGGUGAUACCUCAGUUGUUUUGAUUUGCAUCUCUCUGAUUAUAAGAGAUUUGAACAUUUUUUCAUGUGCUUAUUAAUAGUUUUGAUUUCUUUAACUGAAAAUUGCCUAUUCAUGUCCCUUGCCCAUUUACCAACUGGGAAAUGGCGUGAUUUUUUUGUACAGUUGAUUUAGCUCUUUAUAAAUUUGAGUAAUUAGACCUUUGUCAGAGGUUUUUCUUAGGAAGAUUUUUCCCUAUUUGUUGUUUCCCUUCUAAUUUUGAUUGCAUUGGUUUUGUUUAUA